UGAGGUUUCUGACGGAAAUGAACAUA
rnacentral:piRNA from 1 species